GUUAUCGGCAACGUGACCGUGAGCAUGAAGUAGAUCCUCGAAUGACUCAAAGUAUGAUAUCAGAACGGAUACAACGAUCACAAUCUCCUGUUGAUGUUAGUUUGGCGUUAAGUGAAGACUCAACGAUAACCAUUACCGAACUCAAUAAUAGGUGAGAACAAUUUUUUUGAAAAUUUAAAUUUUGAAUAUAAAACCCAGAAAUUAAUUUUUGUUUUAAAUUGAUUUUUUUUUGAUUUGAUGUAUUUUUUCGACUGUGUAUUUUUUUUAUAUUUUGAAUUUUGAAAAAAAAAACAGAAGAUGUUAAACGGAAAAUUGCAAAAUCUAAAAGCCAAGAUUUUCGGUUUCCCCUUCAAAAACAAAAAUUCGGAAAGGAAACAGUUUACUUACAAACAAAUUCCGAAUUUCGUUAAAUUGUGAGAAGUCGACUUUUUUCAAAACGCCGUAAAAUUGGAAAACUAAAUUUUCGAAAAUUUUCAAUUGCUCCAAAAAUUGACAAAAAAAAACAAUCUUAUACAUCCUUGUUGGUCUCUCUAUCCAUUUCCGAAUUAUCUCUCAUCCAAAAAACACUUUUGCGCUACCUCAAUAUUUCACGCAGGCAUGAAAAUGUAUAUCUGCCUGUUUUCUGCCAAAAUACAGGUAAUUUUUUCCCUUCAUUUCGUAAUUUUGCAAUUCUAAACACACUGGAGUUAGACAGGCAGGCAAAAGGCAGGGCACGUUCGCCUUAAGUUCUACCAUGUUAAUAAAACUUCCUCAAAAUCACAAAAUUAAAUUACGAAUUUCUAAUCAUUCCUAGAAAUGGUUCAACAUUCAAUGCCAAUUCAAUCAACGCGACUCCUGUAAUGAGGCGGCGUAGGAGUCAGAUGAGUGGAGUACGACAGAGAAAUUAUCGAAUAUUAGAUCAAAAUGAAUCAAAGUACAUACUACAACAACAAAGCGCAGCUGCUAUUGAGGAGAAGAAAGGAACGUUACUAAGACGGAAAAGCAGCAAAAAAUUAAUUGAACCGUGAGUCAGAAUGGAGCAAUUUGUUCAAAAUUUUCAAAAAUAUAUUGCAGUUUGCCAAUGAUCAUCACUCCUCCGGUGCUGAUGGCUCGAACGCAAUGCUGUGCGGUUUGCUACAAAGAAAAGAGG
rnacentral:sRNA from 1 species